AUGAAGGCGUAUCUCCUGCGAAUGCGAUCUCGUGGCAGCGUCGGGCAGCUCAAACCAAGUUUAUCCCUUUUGGCAUGCACAUGUCGGCAUGUAUCCAACCGAGAAGGCCACGAAGCCGCGCAGGCGUACGUGUCCGCCGCUCGCACACGCGUCGCGCCGCGCGCCGCUCGCGGGUCACCGGCCGCCACCGCUCUCACGCCCGCGCCCUUCCAGACCUCUCUCGCCCGUCGCCACCUUUUUUUAUUAAGCUCGCUCCUCGUUGUGCUUCUCCACUCGCACGGCGAAGAACAGGGCACCUCUGACCGAACAUAG
rnacentral:rRNA from 1 species